rnacentral:lncRNA from 1 species
CUGCCCCGCCCCCAGCCACGUGAUCGUGUUGGUGAUUGAUGCUGACGUGCUGGUGCUGUGUCCCCCACCCGGGCCCCUCUUCAGUGGCCCCUUCCUGGAGACACUACCUGGGGCUCAGGCCUGGGCCCCCAGUUCACGGUUGUUCCUGGGAGCUGCUCUCCCGCUACAUCUGUACCUUGGAAGCUGCCGCUGCUGCUUACAGAAUUCUAUUUUUUCUUUCGAAGAGUUUUAAGAAGUUGUAACUUUUUGUGUCUGGUCAUGUAAGGAGAUAAAUAAAUAUUCUACGUAGAUGCCUCUAAUCUGAGACUUUGUUUGGGGUGAGGAAGGGACAGGCAGCCCCCUCUUCCAGUAACUGGGUGUCCUCCCGCCCCAGGUCGUCUGCCGCCCACGGAUCCGCCCUUGGGCCUGGAACGAGUCUUCCGGACUCCCUCGCGAUCUGGGCUGGGGGUGUGGGGAAGCCAGGCUCAGCUGCUCACCUUCCUGACCCUGAGCCGCCCUUGGGAUCAAAAGUGGUGCUGGAAGGAGUUGCGGUUGUGGUUAGGCGGUUAAUGAACCCGGCUAGCAUCCGUGAGGACGCGGGUUCGAUCCCUGGCCCGGCUCAGUGGGUUGGGGAUCUGGCAUUGCCGUGAGCUGUGGUGUAGGCUCGGAUCCAGCGUUGCUGUGGCUCUGGUGUAGGCCUGUGGCUACAUCUCUGAUUGGACCCCUAGCCUGGGAACCUCCAUAUGCUGCGGGAGCGGCCCUAGGAAAGGCAAAAAGACAAAAAAAAAAAAAAAAAAAAAAAAGGGUGGUGCUGGGUUUGGAGGCUGUAGAGGUCCCGGCCAGCCCGGGGCGCUGUGGCGGCCAAGAGCAGGAGGGCGGAGCCAGUGCUCAGGAGGUCUCCGCCCCGCAGUCUGCGUCGGGAGCAGUGCCUUGUGGGAAACUCCUAGUCCUUAACAUCCGCAGCCCCUGUCCGCCGCCCUCCGUGGUCCCGCAGAGAGGCAGAGAGGGCGCUGCGCCGAGGUGGGAGCGCCGGGAGCAGCAGCGUAAGGCGGCCAUAGAAUGCCCAGGGCCUCGCUGUCCUGAGCGGUCCUGAUCCAGACGCCUGCCCGUCCCGCACACGCCUCGCCG